GCAUAUGGAGGUUCCCAGGCUAGGGGUCGAAUCGGAGCUGCAGCCACCGGCCUACGCCAGAGCCACAGCAACGCGGGAUCCGAGCUGUGUCUGCAACCUACACCACAGCUCACGGCAACGCCGGAUUGUUAACCCACUGAGCAAGGGCAGGGACCGAACCUGCAACCUCAUGGUUCCUAGUCGGAUUCGUUAACCACUGAGCCAUGACGGGAACUCCAAAGCAGAGCACUUUUGAAAAAUUUGUUGAAUGGCCCAGAUUUUAAUCUCAUGCCUCAAAUGCACAAAUAUGUCUUAGUUCCUUCUAAUAUAAUGAAUGGCAUUGGUGCUGGGGGCGGGGGAGCGGUUCUUCUGUAUGAGAGUAUGAAUUUUAAAGUCAUAGAUAGACUGUGGUUCAAAUCUAGGUUUUAUCUCUUAACAUCUUUAUGUUAGGAGGGCAUUUAACCGCUUGGAACCUCUACCUCUCCAUCUUUGAAAGAGGAAUAAUUAAGAGCACUUUUCUCAUAGAGCUGUUAAUGAGAAUGAGAUGAGAUGAUGCCUGUGAAAAAUUUAGCAAAUCCCUGGCAUGAAAUACCUAAUAUUACUUUGGGCUGGGUUUUUUUUUUUUUUUUCAAUUUUUAAAUUAUUUUAUUAAUGAUUUUUGUUUUUUUUCCAUUUUAGCUGGUUUACAAUGUUCUGUCAGUUUUCUACUGUACAGCAAGGUAACCCAGUCACACAUACAUACAUGCAUUCUUUCUUCUUGCUGUUUUUGACACUGUUAAUACUUUUGCUACUGUUGAUGUUGUUGGGGGCAGUGAUUGACAGUGGGUUAUCAUUAGGUAAUACUGAGAGCUAAGCUUGCUGAAUGAUAUCAUCCAUAAUUCAUAAGAAUUGCCCAUGUGAGAUUUGGGAAUGAGCAAACUGUCCUCAAGUUCAGGGCUCAACAAACUAUAAACCACUACCUGUUUUUGUGAGUAAAGUUUUAUUGGAACACAGUCUUGUCUGCUCUUUUGGCUAUAGUUAAUGCCCAUUUUCAUGUUACAACUACAGAGUUGAGUAGCUGCCACAUAGACUUUUGAUGAAAAAGCCUAGAAUAUUUUUAUCUGGCCCUUUAUGGAAAAGGUUUGCCAACUUCUCACACUGAUAUAGCCUGGGUUUUUGAGCAGAUGUUAGCCUGACUCAUAAACAAAACUGUUCAGAGAUUUGGAACAUCUCUCUCUCUCUUUUUUCCCAGCUUCGCAUUUCCCUUGAGCUGAAAUAUCCCCAGCAAAUGUUCUAGUUAGCAUUCAUAGUGAUUUUGGUGGUCCUGCUUUUGGAAAGUCCUGGGAGGAACAAAGAUGAGGGAGUGAUGUGCUUUAGGAGAUGGAUCAAGGAAAAGAGUGUGUGUUGGCAGUCGUGGGGCCCCUGGUUCUGGUGUUCUGAGCAUUAGUUUGCUUCCAUGUAUGAGGUGGGGUUUGGUGAAUGAUGCUGACCUGGUCAUUCUGGUGACAUCCCACCCAGUUACUUGAGGACAAUUGCGUAAGUAUCUGAGCUGUGGAGAGCUUGUUUUAAGGCCAUUGUCAUGAUGGCAUUUCUUUAAUCUGAGUAUAACUUUUCACGUUAGGGCUCGCUGCGUUAUUUCAGUUUCACUGCAUCACCUUGGAUAAUGUCUCCAUUCUGUUUAUAUUUGAAAUGGUAAACAACUUUACUUCUGUAGGCUUAUCAGAUGAUGCCAUUGUGAACACCUACUGCUGUAUCACAGAGGAUGGUUUAUUCAGGAGCCUGGAGACAGGCUCCAUUGUGCUCAUCUUAGGAUAUGUUUUCUCUCUGGUCUUUAAUUUUUGCUAUUCUAGAAAAGUGUGGUCAUGAUAUCUCAGUUCAACAUGAAAACAUCAGGCAAAAGAGAUAUGAGGUGGAACAUAAAUGUGUGAUUAUUACUAAUUCUUAAAAAUAGCAGCGUAAUUUCAAGAUUGCCUUCUAUCUUUGAAUUUAUUUUCUUUAUACCAACACAGGGAAAAAGGAGGAAAGACAUUGAUGUAUUUCAUGCAGAAUUACACUGAAAAAAAAAAUAAAAGCAAUAGUUUAAGUAAGAGUGUCUCAUUAGAAAUAUCAAAACACUUUUUUUCUGUGACUAAGAUACAGAUUUUUUUUCUGUGUUACUUGAGGUGAUGACAGCUCAUGAAUUUUGGAAUUUGCCCAGAACUUCUGUAAUUAUUACACAAAAAGUAGCACAUGCUAGGUAGGUCAUCGUUGCCGGAAAGGGAAAUGGGAAACAAAUUUGGAGUGAGUUCAAGUGGAAAUUUGAGGCAUUUUUAUAAAGCUCUCUGUUUUUUCUCCUCCCCCUCAAAGACUUGGGGAAAAAACAGGUGGUGGUUUCUCCUCCCACCCCUUUUUAACUUACCCUGUUUGGUUUUCUGCAUUUUUAAUAAUCCGUAGCUCAUGUUCCUUUUGUUUAGAAAGAUUCUCUGCAUCGAUACAAGGCGGGGGGGCCAUUCUUCACUGUUUGAGAAAUCCAAACUUGAGACAUGCCAGGACCACAGUUCCUUGCAAGAAGUGUCUGGUGUUGCACUGGGUGAAGGUCAAGCAGUAUUAUUCUAAGAGGCAUUCCUUUUUUGGUCAGGAAAUUGUGGAGGAGAUCUCCAACGUCCUUCCUAAUUGUCCUGAGGUUUGAUGACUUGCUCAGCUGUAAAAUGGAGAUACAAGGAUAUACCUUACAGGAUGGCUUUGGGGGUUAAUGGUACCUGGUAUAGGUCUUAAUUGUAUGCUGCCUCACCCCACUAUUCAUAAGAACAUUUUGUUUUAUAAUGUAUGUGUGUAAGGUGGGGGGGGGUUGGUUCUCAUUUCUCCAGCUAAAUGUAGAGUUUUUGAGGAUAGGAAUUACAGCUUAUAAUUCCUUGUUUUUCCUGCUGUGUGCCUGCAUAUCUCAUUUUGUAGAUAUUUGGUACAUAUUUUUCAAGGGGGGUGAAUGGAUGGAUAGAUAAAUGAAUUCAUGCCAGAGUCUAUGAUUGGAAACUUACUAAGGGGAUCCUGCCAUGAAAUCCAGAUAAAUUAGUGGGUGAUUUACAAAAGGUUUCACCGUUGGAUCCUUUUAAGUAGCGAGCUCCCCUGGUGAACUUAAGAUAUAAUUAAAUUCCUAAAAUAGCAUUUCUAUGCCUAUUUUUAAUAAUGUCUAUACAGGGUGAAGCAAAACAUGCCUGCCAAAGUCAGCUUUUGUCAUUAGAAGAAUGGAAAGCACUGUAGAACCUUAAAGUUUAAUGUUAAUAUUGUCAUAUUAUUUGCCCCUCUCCAAAUGCCUCCUACGAAGUCUCUUAAGGGAAUCAUUUCCCCAGAGACAUUUUCUUUGCAAUAAAGAUCCUCUGAUCCGAUGGCACCACACUGUUGAGAGUCAUUCUCCUAAGUCCUGGCUCAAAGGUAUCUCCACCUGAUCUCACCCUCAGUUCAUCAGUCUCCCUUUUAUAUUUUACCAUUAAUUUCUGUCUUCUCUAUGCUUUCCUACUCAUCUAUUUACAGUUUUGAAGUAGAAGUUAUUUAUUUUUUUUUGUUCAGCACCCUUAUUAAUUGCUUGCUGUGUGCCAAGUGUUGUGCUAUCAUGGGAGGGGCCCGAGAAAUUCCUCAGAUUUGCUACUGCCAGGUCCCAGCCAAAAGAUGGGCAGGUGUUGGAGUUCCCGUCAUGGCUCAGUGGUUAAUGAAUCCGACUAGGAACCAUGAGUUGUGGGUUCGAUCCUUGGCCUUGCUCAGUGGGUUAAGGAUCCGGCCUUGCUGUGAGCUGUGGUGUAGGUGGCAGACGCGGCUCGGAUCCCGCGUUGCUGUGGCUCUGGCGUAGGCUGGUGGCUACAUCUCCCAUUUGAUCCCUAGCCUGGGAACCUCUAUAUGCCAUGGGAGUGGCCCAAGAAAUGG
rnacentral:lncRNA from 1 species